rnacentral:rRNA from 1 species
CGGCGUGCUUAACACAUGCAAGUCGAACGGAAAGGCCCUGCUUUUGUGGGGUGCUCGAGUGGCGAACGGGUGAGUAACACGUGAGUAACCUGCCCUUGACUUUGGGAUAACUUCAGGAAACUGGGGCUAAUACCGGAUAGGAGCUCCUGCUGCAUGGUGGGGGUUGGAAAGUUUCGGCGGUUGGGGAUGGACUCGCGGCUUAUCAGCUUGUUGGUGGGGUAGUGGCUUACCAAGGCUUUGACGGGUAGCCGGCCUGAGAGGGUGACCGGCCACAUUGGGACUGAGAUACGGCCCAGACUCCUACGGGAGGCAGCAGUGGGGAAUAUUGCACAAUGGGCGGAAGCCUGAUGCAGCAACGCCGCGUGCGGGAUGACGGCCUUCGGGUUGUAAACCGCUUUCGCCUGUGACGAAGCGUGAGUGACGGUAAUGGGUAAAGAAGCACCGGCUAACUACGUGCCAGCAGCCGCGGUGAUACGUAGGGUGCGAGCGUUGUCCGGAUUUAUUGGGCGUAAAGGGCUCGUAGGUGGUUGAUCGCGUCGGAAGUGUAAUCUUGGGGCUUAACCCUGAGCGUGCUUUCGAUACGGGUUGACUUGAGGAAGGUAGGGGAGAAUGGAAUUCCUGGUGGAGCGGUGGAAUGCGCAGAUAUCAGGAGGAACACCAGUGGCGAAGGCGGUUCUCUGGGCCUUUCCUGACGCUGAGGAGCGAAAGCGUGGGGAGCGAACAGGCUUAGAUACCCUGGUAGUCCACGCUGUAAACGGUGGGUACUAGGUGUGGGGUCCAUUCCACGGGUUCCGUGCCGUAGCUAACGCUUUAAGUACCCCGCCUGGGGAGUACGGCCGCAAGGCUAAAACUCAAAGGAAUUGACGGGGCCCCGCACAAGCGGCGGAGCACGCGGAUUAAUUCGAUGCAACGCGUAGAACCUUACCUGGGUUUGACAUGGAUCGGGAGUGCUCAGAGAUGGGUGUGCCUCUUUUGGGGUCGGUUCACAGGUGGUGCAUGGCUGUCGUCAGCUCGUGUCGUGAGAUGUUGGGUUAAGUCCCGCAACGAGCGCAACCCUUGUUCACUGUUGCCAGCACGUUAUGGUGGGGACUCAGUGGAGACCGCCGGGGUCAACUCGGAGGAAGGUGGGGAUGACGUCAAGUCAUCAUGCCCCUUAUGUCCAGGGCUUCACGCAUGCUACAAUGGCUGGUACAGAGAGUGGCGAGCCUGUGAGGGCGAGCGAAUCUCGGAAAGCCGGUCUCAGUUCGGAUUGGGGUCUGCAACUCGACCUCAUGAAGUCGGAGUCGCUAGUAAUCGCAGAUCAGCAACGCUGCGGUGAAUACGUUCCCGGGGCUUGUACACACCGCCCGUCAAGUCAUGAAAGUUGGUAACACCCGAAGCCGGUGGCCUAACCGUUGUGGGGGAGCCGUCGAAGGUGGGACUGGUGAUUAGGACUAAGUCAUAACA